rnacentral:misc_RNA from 1 species
GAACACAGACAUCAAGCUUGUUGGUAAGAUUUAAAUUAAACUGUUUUUUCUAUCAAUCAGAGCUUUGCUUUUUCACUUGGAAAAUUUACAUGUAGAAAAAGAAUAUAACAAUUUAACCUUUAAUCUUUCUAUGUUUGUAUAAUUGGUUUCAACUAGAAUUCGAAUCGAAGACCUCACAAUUUUGGAAUCUAACGUAAUAUCAAACCUUUAAUCAUUUUUAUUAGAAU